CCUACGGGAGUCAGCAGUGGGGAAUAUUGGACAAUGGGCGAAAGCCUGAUCCAGCCAUGCCGCGUGUGUGAAGAAGGCCUUCGGGUUGUAAAGCACUUUCAGUGGGGAAGAAAGCCUUGGGGCUAAUACCCUCGAGGAAGGACAUCACCCACAGAAGAAGCACCGGCUAACUCCGUGCCAGCAGCCGCGGUAAUACGGAGGGUGCGAGCGUUAAUCGGAAUUACUGGGCGUAAAGCGCGCGUAGGCGGUCUGAUAAGCCGGUUGUGAAAGCCCCGGGCUCAACCUGGGAACGGCAUCCGGAACUGUCAGGCUAGAGUGCAGGAGAGGAAGGUAGAAUUCCCGGUGUAGCGGUGAAAUGCGUAGAGAUCGGGAGGAAUACCAGUGGCGAAGGCGGCCUUCUGGACUGACACUGACGCUGAGGUGCGAAAGCGUGGGUAGCAAACAGGAUUAGAUACCCCGGUAGUC
rnacentral:rRNA from 1 species